rnacentral:misc_RNA from 1 species
AUAUAUAUCAACCUUCUCCUUGUUGGAGAGGUGUUUGGAUGUGGGGGUUUGCUGGCCUCUUAAAAAGGUUCAGCUCCUCUGAAAUGCAUUAGCAGAACAACCCGUUCAUUGGCGUGAUAACUAUCUACGCUAUUGAAUGCGAUCAUCGGGGCAGUUCAGCUUUCUAACAGUCUUUGGACAAUUCAUCAUUA